AUGGAUAACAGGUUGAUAUUCCUGUACCACCUAUAAUCGUUUUAAUCGAUGGGGGGACGCAGUAGGAUAGGCGAAGCGUGCGAUUGGAUUGCACGUCUAAGCAGUAAGGCUGAGUAUUAGGCAAAUCCGGUACUCGUUAAGGCUGAGCUGUGAUGGGGAGAAGACAUUGUGUCUUCGAGUCGUUGAUUUCACACUGCCGAGAAAAGCCUCUAGAUAGAAAAUAGGUGCCCGUACCGCAAACCGACACAGGUAGUCAAGAUGAGAAUUCUAAGGUGAGCGAGCGAACUCUCGUUAAGGAACUCGGCAAAAUGACCCCGUAACUUCGGGAGAAGGGGUGCUCUUUAGGGUUAACGCCCAGAAGAGCCGCAGUGAAUAGGCCCAAGCGACUGUUUAUCAAAAACACAGGUCUCUGCUAAACCGUAAGGUGAUGUAUAGGGGCUGACGCCUGCCCGGUGCUGGAAGGUUAAGAGGAGUGGUUAGCUUCUGCGAAGCUACGAAUCGAAGCCCCAGUAAACGGCGGCCGUAACUAUAACGGUCCUAAGGUAGCGAAAUUCCUUGUCGGGUAAGUUCCGACCCGCACGAAAGGCGUAACGAUUUGGGCACUGUCUCAACGAGAGACUCGGUGAAAUCAUAGUACCUGUGAAGAUGCAGGUUACCCGCGACAGGACGGAAAGACCCCGUGGAGCUUUACUGUAGCCUGAUAUUGAAAUUCGGCACAGCUUGUACAGGAUAGGUAGGAGCCUUUGAAACGUGAGCGCUAGCUUACGUGGAGGCGCUGGUGGG
rnacentral:rRNA from 1 species